UACGGGGGGGGGCAAGCGUUGUUCGGAAUUACUGGGCGUAAAGGGCUCGUAGGCGGCCAACUAAGUCAGACGUGAAAUCCCUCGGCUUAACCGGGGAACUGCGUCUGAUACUGGAUGGCUUGAGUUCGGGAGAGGGAUGCGGAAUUCCAGGUGUAGCGGUGAAAUGCGUAGAUAUCUGGAGGAACACCGGUGGCGAAGGCGGCAUCCUGGACCGACACUGACGCUGAGGAGCGAAGGCGUGGGGGAGCGAACGGG
rnacentral:rRNA from 1 species